GGAGGCGGUGGCUCAGUGGUAGAGCGCGUGCUUACCACGCACGAGGUCCUGGGUUCGAUACCCCGUGCCUCUA